rnacentral:rRNA from 1 species
UAGGGAAUCUUCCACAAUGGACGAAAGUCUGAUGGAGCAACGCCGCGUGAGUGAAGAAGGGUUCCGGCUCGUAAAACUCUGUUGUUAAAGAAGAACAUAUCUGAGAGUAACUGUUCAGGUAUUGACGGUAUUUAACCAGAAAGCCACGGCUAACUACGUACCAG